AUGUAGGGCAAUCUCUCUUUAGGCAGGGGUGAAUUACCCUUAAAGAAAAAAAUAAAAAGGAAUCCUAGAUAGUUUUCUCUUUAAGUCAGACAUUGU
rnacentral:pre_miRNA from 1 species